UAUAUGGGCUUAAAUGUUAACGUGAAGUUGCCUGGCCCAAUUUCAUAAUUUUUGGUUAGGGUUUGCAAGUAUAAUAACAACACCAUAGGGUUAGCCGCCGCUCUUCAUCACCUUCAAGUGUUCUGCUUCAAUCCUUCUAGGUUUUUUACCGUCGCUGAGCUUCAAACUACCACCACCAUCUUCACUUGGCGUAUUUUACUCACGCAGUUUCAUUGUCUCUUUCUCUCCGAUUUUCAAGAUGACUUGCGACUAUACUUUAGAUCUGGAGACUACUUCGAAUUUUCAAAGACAAGAGAACUGUUAUCUUUUCGAUUCUCCUUUAGAUCUGGGU